AUGUUUGAGUUUUUGUUGAAUCUUAAUUGCAGCCUUACGUAUUUUCUUUUGUACGCUAAGUUAAAAGAAAAUUGCCUAACUAAAUUUUUGGAGGACAAAUAUAUAAAAAACUGGAGGCCAAGAUAUUUCCUUUUGAAGACAGAUGGCUCAUUCAUAGGAUAUAAAGAGAAACCUCAAGAUGUGGAUUUACCUUAUCCGCUCAACAACUUUUCAGUGGCAAAAUGCCAGUUAAUGAAAACAGAACGACCAAAGCCAAACACAUUUAUUAUCAGAUGUCUCCAGUGGACCACUGUUAUAGAGAGGACAUUUCAUGUAGAUACCCCAGAGGAAAGGGAAGAAUGGACAGAAGCUAUUCAGGCAGUAGCAGACAGACUUCAGAGGCAAGAAGAGGAGAGAAUGAACUGUAGUCCAACUUCACAAAUUGAUAAUAUAGGGGAGGAAGAGAUGGAUGCUUCUACAACCCAUCACAAAAGAAAGACAAUGAAUGAUUUUGACUAUUUGAAACUACUAGGAAAAGGCACUUUUGGGAAAGUUAUUUUGGUUCGAGAGAAGGCAAGUGGGAAAUAUUAUGCUAUGAAGAUUCUGAAGAAAGAAGUUAUUAUUGCAAAGGUAACUGAAAUUUUUGUUUGUUCCUUGAAAUAUUCCUUCCAGACAAAAGACCGUUUGUGUUUUGUGAUGGAAUAUGUUAAUGGGGGAGAGCUGUUUUUCCAUUUGUCGAGAGAGCGGGUGUUCUCUGAGGACCGCACACGUUUCUAUGGUGCAGAAAUUGUCUCUGCCUUGGACUAUCUACAUUCCGGAAAGAUUGUGUACCGUGAUCUCAAGUUGGAGAAUUUGAUGCUGGAUAAAGAUGGCCACAUAAAAAUUACAGAUUUUGGACUUUGCAAAGAAGGGAUCACAGAUGCAGCCACCAUGAAGACAUUCUGUGGUACCCCAGAAUAUCUGGCUCCCGAGGUAUUAGAAGAUAAUGACUAUGGCCGAGCUGUGGAUUGGUGGGGCCUAGGAGUUGUGAUGUAUGAAAUGAUGUGUGGGAGGUUACCUUUUUACAACCAGGAUCAUGAGAAACUUUUUGAACUAAUUCUAAUGGAAGACAUUAAAUUUCCACGAACACUCUCUUCAGAUGCAAAAUCAUUGCUUUCAGGGCUCUUGAUAAAGGAUCCAAAUAAACGUCUUGGUGGAGGACCAGAUGAUGCAAAAGAAAUUAUGAGACACAGUUUCUUCUCUGGAGUAAACUGGCAAGAUGUAUACGAUAAAAAGCUUGUACCUCCUUUUAAGCCUCAAGUAACAUCUGAGACAGAUACCAGAUAUUUUGAUGAAGAAUUUACAGCUCAGACUAUUACAAUAACACCACCUGAAAAAUAUGAUGAGGAUGGUAUGGAUUGCAUGGACAACGAGAGGCGGCCGCACUUCCCGCAGUUUUCCUACUCUGCAAGUGGACGCGAAUAA
rnacentral:lncRNA from 1 species